rnacentral:rRNA from 1 species
GACAGAGGUGGCGACCGUUGUUCGGAAUCACUGGGCAUAAAGCGCGUGUAGGCGGCGAAGAAAGUCGGGUGUGAAAUCCCUCGGCCUAACCGAGGAAUCGCGCCCGAAACUCCUUUGCUUGAGGACAGGAGGGGAGCCUGGAAUUCCUGGUGGAGCGGUGAAAUGCGUUGAUAUCAGGAGGAACACCGGCGGCGAAGGCGAGGCUCUGGCCUGUUUCUGACGCUGAGACGCGAAAGCUAGGGGAGCAAACGGG